CUUUUUCUAGAUCAAGCAGCAAGAAAAUUAACCAUGUGAGUUUUUUUGGUGUGUUUUAUAGUAAAUAUUAAUUACUAACCUAUAUAAAUAUGAUGCAUCUGUUUAUAGGUACUGGCUUGCUUUUGAAUAUUGUUGCAGAUAAAGCACUAAAAUCAAUGUAGCAUUAUCAAUUGGGCACAGUUAGUAUCUAUAGCAGUAGCUGGUAAGAACUAAAUCUACCGUAGAGAGCAAGUACUGUUUAGUCUACAAAUGUCUUUUAAUCAAUGAGUUCUAUCUUUUUGACAGAUAUGCACAUGAUGCACCUGUUUUUGCUUAUGAUAGGUUUUCACUUGCUUUUGAAUAGUUGAUGCCAACCUCUUAAAGUGUGGAAGACUGUUUAAUCAUGGCUAUUACUACAACUGUUAGACUUGAGCCUUUUCUUUAUAACUCGAAAUAAUUUUUAUUUCACAUCGUUUGCAUAUGCUCUCUUCUCCUAAGCAGUAAUUUUUUCGCCAUGCCCUUGUGUACAUUCGCGUUAGAAAUUCAGCUCCGCCUUUGUGUGUUCCAGAUGGAGUUGCCACUGAAGUCAGGUGUUUGCCUUUCCCCCACCCUGUUCUUUUUGUUUACCUAGAUGUUUGCAUGUUCUGUUUCUAAUAAGGGUGUGCCCUAUGGGUAUUUUUCAUGUUGUGUUGGUUUGGUUGUUUUCAUUUUAUUCCUGCCAUACCACAUGGUAUUAUCUGUCUACUCUUCCUGUAUUCAUUUGUUGCGGUUGGCUGCUUCAUAGUGUCAUUUGCCAUCCCAUUCCUACCUAUGCCCAAGGUGGUCGGUGAUGUUUAUGUCCUGGGAGCUGUUGCUGAUCCCAAGAUUGGUAGUUCUUCAUGUGUGUAUGGGCAAUGUUGUCAGCAAUAUUGCAAACAGUUUAGCUGAUAUCCCGAAUUAAGGUUCGCUUGAAAUUGUCAA